GUGUCAGCCGCCGUGGUAAUACGUAGGGCGCGAGCGUUGUCCGGAAUUAUUGGGCGUAAAGAGCUCGUAGGCGGCUUGUCGCGUCUGCUGUGAAAUCCCGGGGCUUAACCCCGGGCGUGCAGUGGAUACGGGCAGGCUGGAGGCAGGCAGGGGAGAACGGAAUUCCCGGUGUAGCGGUGAAAUGCGCAGAUAUCGGGAGGAACACCGGUGGCGAAGGCGGUUCUCUGGGCCUGUUCUGACGCUGAGGAGCGAAAGCGUGGGGAGCGAACAGGAUUAGAAACCCCUGUAGUCC
rnacentral:rRNA from 1 species